rnacentral:misc_RNA from 1 species
CAGAGAAGACCUUUGCGUCUCGGCUCUGCCAACCCCGCGAACCUAUACCUACAAUACUGCCGUUGCCUCGGCGGGCAGCGCCUCCGGGCGCCCCGCCGCAGGCACGGCGGACCCAAACGCUCAAAAGCUCCGCGCUCUCUGAACAAAAACUUAAACGAGUAA